rnacentral:sRNA from 1 species
UGCGCCUGUGGCGGGUCCGGCACAAAAUAUUAUAUUUUUUUAAACUUUAAAAAAAUAUACUUCGCAGGCAGUUAUUUUGUGUACGAUCUUGUACAUUCCAAUAAUUAAUUGGAAUUUAACUCCUUCU